rnacentral:tRNA from 1 species
GUUUCCGUGGUGUAGUGGGUAUCACGUGCGCCUCACACGCGCAAGGUCCCCGGGUCGAUCCCGGGCGGAAACA